rnacentral:rRNA from 1 species
UGGGGAAUAUUGCACAAUGGGCGAAAGCCCGAUGCAGCAACGCCGCGUGAGUGAUGAAGGCCUUCGGGUUGUAAAGCUCUGUCUUUUGGGACGAUAAUGACGGUACCAAAGGAGGAAGCCACGGCUAACUACGUGCCAGCAGCCGCGGUAAUACGUAGGUGGCAAGCGUUGUCCGGAAUUUACUGGGCGUAAAGGAUGCGUAGGCGGAUUUUUAAGUGAGAUGUGAAAUACCCCGGGCUUAACUUGGGUGCUGCAUUUCAAACUGGGAAUCUAGAGUGCGGGAAGAGGAGAAUGGAAUUCCUAGUGUAGCGGUGAAAGUGCGUAGAGAUUAGGAAGAACACCAGUGGCGAAGGCGAUUCUCUGGACCGUAACUGACGCUGAGGCAUGAAAGCGUGGGUAGCAAACAGGAUUAGAUACCCUGGUAGUCCACGCCGUAAA